rnacentral:rRNA from 1 species
GAUGAACGCUAGCGAUAGGCUUAACACAUGCAAGUCGAGGGGCAGCAUGGUCUUAGCUUGCUAAGGCUGAUGGCGACCGGCGCACGGGUGCGUAACGCGUAUGCAACUUGCCUCUCAGAGGGGGUUAACCCGCUGAAAGACGGACUAAUACCGCGUACACUCUAUGUUGGGCGUCCAAUGUAGAUGCAAUGAAUUUCGCUGUGAGAUAGGCAUGCCACCCAUUAGCUAGUUGGUGAGGUAACGGCUCACCAAGGCGACGAUGGGUAGGGGAACUGAGAGGGUGAGGCCCCACAGUGGUACCGGGACACGGACGAGAGUGCUACGGGAGGGAGCAGUGCGGGAGGUAGGUCAGUGGGAGAGUGCCUGAACCAGCCAAGUCGCGUGAAGGAAGGCUGAGUUCGGGAUUGUAAACUUCUUUUAGAAGGGAAUAACCGGAGUCGCGGAUGGCUCCCUGACGGUACCGUAUGAAGAAGCACCGGCUAACUCCGUG